rnacentral:rRNA from 1 species
UACGGAGGGCGCGAGCGUUACCCGGAUUUACUGGGCGUAAAGGGCGUGUAGGCGGUCUGGGGCGUCCCAUGUGAAAGGCCACGGCUCAACCGUGGAGGAGCGUGGGAUACGCUCAGGCUAGACGGUGGGAGAGGGUGGUGGAAUUCCCGGAGUAGCGGUGAAAUGCGCAGAUACCGGGAGGAACGCCGAUGGCGAAGGCAGCCACCUGGCUCACUGGUGACGCUGAGGCGCGAAAGCUAGGGGAGCAAACGGG